rnacentral:misc_RNA from 1 species
UUUCCGUAGGUGAACCUGCGGAAGGAUCAUUAGUGAAUAUUAGGGCGUCCACUUCGGUAGGGCCUGACUUCCACUUUCUAACUCUGUGCACUUAUUUGGCGGAAAAGGGAAUUAGUAAUCUGCCUAAUGACGAUUGCGACUUCUUACUUUCUGCGGCUUACUUUAAACACUAGUCAAAAUAUGUAACGAAAUAUCGAAACAAAUAAAAACUUUCAACAACGGAUCUCUUGGCUCUC